AGUGAACGCUGGCGGUAGGCCUAACACAUGCAAGUCGAACGGCAGCACAGUAAGAGCUUGCUCUUACGGGUGGCGAGUGGCGGACGGGUGAGGAAUACAUCGGAAUCUACUUUUUCGUGGGGGAUAACGUAGGGAAACUUACGCUAAUACUGCAUACGACCUACGGGUGAAAGCAGGGGAUCUUCGGGCCUUGCGCGAUUGAAUGAGCCGAUGUCGGAUUAGCUAGUUGGCGGGGUAAAGGCCCACCAAGGCGACGAUCCGUAGCUGGUCUGAGAGGAUGAUCAGCCACACUGGAACUGAGACACGGUCCAGACUCCUACGGGAGGCAGCAGUGGGGAAUAUUGGACAAUGGGCGCAAGCCUGAUCCAGCCAUACCGCGUGGGUGAAGAAGGCCUUCGGGUUGUAAAGCCCUUUUGUUGGGAAAGAAAAGCAGCAGGUUAAUACCCCGCUGUUCUGACGGUACCCAAAGAAUAAGCACCGGCUAACUUCGUG
rnacentral:rRNA from 1 species